UACGAGGGGGCUAGCGUUGUUCGGAAUUACUGGGCGUAAAGCGCACGUAGGCGGACCGGAAAGUCAGAGGUGAAAUCCCAGGGCUCAACCUGGGGGCUGCGUCUGAGACUGCGGGGCUAGAGGCCGAGAGAGGGUGGUGGAAUUCCCAGUGUAGAGGUGAAAUUCGUAGAUAUUCGGAAGAACACCAGUGGCGAAGGCGACUAACUGGACAAGUAUUGACGCUGAGGUACGAAAGCGUGGGGAGCAAACAGG
rnacentral:rRNA from 1 species